rnacentral:rRNA from 1 species
UGGGGGAUAUUGCACAAUGGGGGGAACCCGUGAUGCAGCGACGCCGCGUGGGUGAAGGAGUAUUUCGGUAUGUAAAGCCCUAUCGGCAGGGAAGAAGAAAGACGGUACCUGACUAAGAAGCCCCCGGCUAACUACGUGCC